GUCUCUCUGGUGCUGGAGAUGGGAGCCAGACUCAGCCAGCCAGGAAGUCAAUAAUUACAAAUCAUUCUAGAAGUUUGCAGCUCGAGUUGGGUAUGCAUAGGCGGUGAGGGUUGAGAAAUCUGGCAGCGACAAGAAUGAGGGCUUCUGCUUGCUCCGUGUGGGCGAAGCAGUUACAAAGACGGAAAGGAUGCAGGAGGAGGAGAGAGCUGUUUAGAAAGGGGGGCGCGGGGGGACGGGUGUGGCUCUUGUGUCCCUGUUCUGUGAAUAAGCUGGAGGUGAAGUCAUGCACCCGGGAGGGACACAGAGGGCUGAGAAAAUCGCGGGGAGGUUUUUAUAGAUGACGCAUUGAGGAAAAAAGGCAAGACAAGAGCCAUUCAGGAAAUCAUGGUGCAGCCGAAGGGCCAAUUAAAAGCAGAGAAUGCAGGCUUUUAGUGAGUGCAGUAGCUCUGUGGGAACGUGGCAGUGGAACCCAACAGCCGGGGUGACAAAGACGUGACCUUGACCUGGAGGUGGAUCUGCUCCUGCAGCCAAGGCUGAAGGUCAGGGGUGACAGAAGCCCAGUUAAAAAAAAAAAAAGCUCGUCCUUCCUGGUCAAGUAGGAUGCUGUACCCGUCAUGGGCUCUGAUUGAAUGACUCCAGAAAGACACGAACGGCCUCACGGGGGCUCUGGAGACAGAGGGACAGAAUGGGCACAUCCUGGCCCGAGAGGAGUGUGGCACGUUGGCUUCCGUACAAGGCGCCGUAGCAAAACACCAUGGGCCAGGCGGCUACAACCUCAGAGCCUCAUUUCGUUUCGUCAGGGUCAACGGUGGGACGUCUGUGAUCAAGGUGACAGCUCGGCCAGUUUCCAGGGAGGGCUCACCUACUGGCCCGCAGACGACCGCCUUCCUGCUGGCCCCCGUGGGUCUUUUCUCGGAGCCCCGCCCCCGCCCCCACCCCAGACACUCUCUUCUUGUAGGGACACGGGUCCCGCCGAUCAGGGGCUCACGCUCAGACCUCCCUCAUCUUCUCCAAAUAGUCACAAGGAGACUAGGGUCUCAACACGUGGGUCUUUUGGGGACAGGUCCAUCCCUGUCAGCUUCCUGUCCUUUCCCAUUUACUCUGGGCAAAGGGCAAAGGGCAAAGGCCAAUGUGAGGGGACCCUACAGCAGGUGCUUCGGAUCUUUCCUGAGCGAGGCGCAGACGUCCCUCUAGGAAGGGAGAUGCUAGGAUGCGGUGACGUCCGGGGUGGGCGUGGCCCUCACCCAGGGGAGCAGCAACAGCAGGAGCAACAAUGAGGCCGAAGUGCCACCAGUACCACCCGAGCCUGGUGCAUAACCCCCAGAAUAAAUGAAGACUGAGGUCUUGUUUGCGCAGCAAAGAGGAACUUGGGAGCCGCGGAAAUUUACAACACUCUGAGUGUAGAAUUCCUUCAGGGAGAGUGAAAUAACCCACUCUUUCCCAGUGUUAUUAAAUAUUGAUAAGCCGGGGAUGGGCUUCUUUUUAAAAGCACUGUGGAGAUUUCCGCAUCUUGGGCGACAGACUUGCGU
rnacentral:lncRNA from 1 species